AUACGUAGGGGGCGAGCGUUGUCCGGAAUGAUUGGGCGUAAAGGGCGCGUAGGCGGCCCGGUAAGUCUGGAGUGAAAGUCCUGUUUUUAAGAUGGGAAUUGCUUUGGAUACUGUCGGGCUUGAGUGCAGGAGAGGUAAGUGGAAUUCCCAGUGUAGAGGUGAAAUGCGUAGAGAUUGGGAGGAACACCAGUGGCGAAGGCGACUUACUGGACUGUAACUGACGCUGAGGCGCGAAAGUGUGGGGAGCAAACAGGAUUAGAUACCCUGGUAGUCCACACUGUAAACGAUGAAUGCUAGGUGUAGGGGGUAUCGACCCCUUCUGUGCCGCAGUCAACACAAUAAGCAUUCCGCCUGGGGAGUACGGCCGCAAGGUUGAAACUCAAAUGAAUUGACGGGGG
rnacentral:rRNA from 1 species